UGAGGAAUAUUGCGCAAUGGGGGCAACCCUGACGCAGCGACGCCGCGUGAGUGAGGAAGGCCUUCGGGUCGUAAAGCUCUGUCAAGGGGAAGAAGUGCAUGGUGGUUAAUACCUGUCAUGUUUGACGGUACCCUUAAAGGAAGCACCGGCUAACUCCGUGCCAGCAGCCGCGGUAAUACGGAGGGUGCAAGCGUUGUUCGGAAUCACUGGGCGUAAAGGGCGCGCAGGCGGUUGGAAUAGUCAGAUGUGAAAGCCCACGGCUUAACCGUGGAAGUGCAUUUGAAACUGUCAGACUUGAGUACGAGAGGGGAAAGGGGAAUGCCCGGUGUAGAGGUGAAAUUCGUAGAUAUCGGGAGGAAUACCGGUGGCGAAGGCGACUUUCUGGCUGGAUACUGACGCUGAGGCGCGAAAGCGUGGGGAGCAAACA
rnacentral:rRNA from 1 species